UACGGGGGGGGGCAAGCGUUGUUCGGAAUUACUGGGCGUAAAGGGCUCGUAGGUGGCCAACUAAGUCAGACGUGAAAUCCCUCGGCUUAACCGGGGAACUGCGCUUGAUACUGGAUGGCUUGAGUUUGGGAGAGGGGUGCGGAAUUCCAGGUGUAGCGGUGAAAUGCGCAGAUAUCAGGAAGAACACCCGUGGCGAAGGCGGCUCUCUGGGCCUGUUCUGACGCUGAGGCGCGAAAGCUAGGGGAGCGAACAGG
rnacentral:rRNA from 1 species